UAUGUCCUAGCUGUCUAAAGCUUAACUUC
rnacentral:piRNA from 1 species